rnacentral:rRNA from 1 species
AACGAACGCUGGCGGCAUGCCUAACACAUGCAAGUCGAACGAGAUCUUCGGAUCUAGUGGCGCACGGGUGCGUAACGCGUGGGAAUCUGCCCCUUGCUUCGGAAUAACAGUGAGAAAUUACUGCUAAUACCGGAUGAUGUCUUCGGACCAAAGAUUUAUCGGCAAGGGAUGAGCCCGCGUAGGAUUAGGUAGUUGGUGGGGUAAUGGCCUACCAAGCCGACGAUCCUUAGCUGGUCUGAGAGGAUGAUCAGCCACACUGGGACUGAGACACGGCCCAGACUCAUACGGGAGGAAGAAGGGGGAAUUAUGGAACAAGGGGAGAAAGCCUGACCAAGAAAGCCGGGGGGAGGAAAGAGGGCUUUAGGGUUGAAAAGCUUUUUUACCAGGGAGAAAAAGGAGAGUCCCUGGAAAAAAAGCCCGGGCAAACCCGGGG